UACAGAGGGUGCAAGCGUUAAUCGGAAUUACUGGGCGUAAAGCGUGCGCAGACGGUUGCGUAAGUCCGCUGUGAAAGCCCGGAGCUUAACUCCGGAGGGUCGGUGGAUACUGCCAGUCUUGAAGGUGCUAGGGGGAGAUGGAAUUACCGGUGUAGCGGUGAAAUGCGUAGAUAUCGGUAGGAACACCAGUGGCGAAGGCGGUCUCCUGGGGCAUUCUUGACGCUGAGGCGCGAAAGCUGGGGGAGCAAACGGG
rnacentral:rRNA from 1 species